rnacentral:rRNA from 1 species
AGUCGAACGAAGCACUUUAUUUGAUUUCCUUCGGGACUGAUUAUUUUGUGACUGAGUGGCGGACGGGUGAGUAACGCGUGGGUAACCUGCCUUGUACAGGGGGAUAACAGUUGGAAACGGCUGCUAAUACCGCAUAAGCGCACAGCAUCGCAUGAUGCAGUGUGAAAAACUCCGGUGGUAUAAGAUGGACCCGCGUUGGAUUAGCUAGUUGGUGAGGUAACGGCCCACCAAGGCGACGAUCCAUAGCCGACCUGAGAGGGUGACCGGCCACAUUGGGACUGAGACACGGCCCAAACUCCUACGGGAGGCAGCAGUGGGGGAUAUUGCACAAUGGGCGAAAGCCUGAUGCAGCGACGCCGCGUGAGCGAAGAAGUAUUUCGGUAUGUAAAGCUCUAUCAGCAGGGAAGAUAAUGACGGUACCUGACUAAGAAGCACCGGCUAAAUACGUGCCAGCAGCCGCGGUAAUACGUAUGGUGCAAGCGCUAUCCGGAUUUACUGGGUGUAAAGGGAGCGCAGGCGGUGCGGCAAGUCUGAUGUGAAAGCCCGGGGCUCA